GGUUAAGCGACUAAGCGUACACGGUGGAUGCCCUGGCAGUCAGAGGCGAUGAAGGGCGUGCUAAUCUGCGAUAAGCGCCGGUAAGGUGAUAUGAACCGUUAUAACCGGCGAUACCCGAAUGGGGAAACCCAGUGUGACUCGUCACACUAUCAUUAACUGAAUCCAUAGGUUAAUGAGGCGAACCGGGGGAACUGAAACAUCUAAGUACCCCGAGGAAAAGAAAUCAACCGAGAUUCCCCCAGUAGCGGCGAGCGAACGGGGAGGAGCCCAGAGCCUGAAUCAGCAUGUGUGUUAGUGGAAGCGUCUGGAAAGGCGCGCGAUACAGGGUGACAGCCCCGUACACAAAAGCGCAUGUGCUGUGAGCUCGAUGAGUAGGGCGGGACACGUGGUAUCCUGUCUGAAUAUGGGGGGACCAUCCUCCAAGGCUAAAUACUCCUGACUGACCGAUAGUGAACCAGUACCGUGAGGGAAAGGCGAAAAGAACCCCGGCGAGGGGAGUGAAAAAGAACCUGAAACCGUGUACGUACAAGCAGUGGGAGCACAGGUUUACCUGUGUGACUGCGUACCUUUUGUAUAAUGGGUCAGCGACUUAUAUUCUGUAGCAAGGUUAACCGUAUAGGGGAGCCGUAGGGAAACCGAGUCUUAACCGGGCGUUAAGUUGCAGGGUAUAGACCCGAAACCCGGUGAUCUAGCCAUGGGCAGGUUGAAGGUUGGGUAACACUAACUGGAGGACCGAACCGACUAAUGUUGAAAAAUUAGCGGAUGACCUGUGGCUGGGGGUGAAAGGCCAAUCAAACCGGGAGAUAGCUGGUUCUCCCCGAAAGCUAUUUAGGUAGCGCCUCGUGAAUUCAUCUCCGGGGGUAGAGCACUGUUUCGGCUAGGGGGCCAUCCCGGCUUACCAACCCGAUGCAAACUGCGAAUACCGGAGAAUGUUAUCACGGGAGACACACGGCGGGUGCUAACGUCCGUCGUGAAGAGGGAAACAACCCAGACCGCCAGCUAAGGUCCCAAAGUCAUGGUUAAGUGGGAAACGAUGUGGGAAGGCCCAGACAGCCAGGAUGUUGGCUUAGAAGCAGCCAUCAUUUAAAGAAAGCGUAAUAGCUCACUGGUCGAGUCGGCCUGCGCGGAAGAUGUAACGGGGCUAAACCAUGCACCGAAGCUGCGGCAGCGACGCUGAUGCGUUGUUGGGUAGGGGAGCGUUCUGUAAGCCUGCGAAGGUGGCCUGUGAGGGUUGCUGGAGGUAUCAGAAGUGCGAAUGCUGACAUAAGUAACGAUAAAGCGGGUGAAAAGCCCGCUCGCCGGAAGACCAAGGGUUCCUGUCCAACGUUAAUCGGGGCAGGGUGAGUCGACCCCUAAGGCGAGGCCGAAAGGCGUAGUCGAUGGGAAACGGGUUAAUAUUCCCGUACUUGGUGUUACUGCGAAGGGGGGACGGAGAAGGCUAUGUUGGCCGGGCGACGGUUGUCCCGGUUUAAGCGUGUAGGUGUGUGCUCCAGGUAAAUCCGGUUCACUUUAACACUGAGGCGUGACGACGAGGCACUACGGUGCUGAAGCAACAAAUGCCCUGCUUCCAGGAAAAGCCUCUAAGCAUCAGGUAACAC
rnacentral:rRNA from 2 species